GGCGAACGGGUGAGUAACACGUGGGUGAUCUGCCCUGCACUCUGGGAUAAGCCUGGGAAACUGGGUCUAAUACCGGAUAGGACCAUGCUUUAGUGUGUGUGGUGGAAAGUUUUUCGGUGUAGGAUGAGCCCGCGGCCUAUCAGCUUGUUGGUGGGGUAAUGGCCUACCAAGGCAACGAUCAGUAGCCGGCUUGAGAGAGUGUACGGCCACAUUGGGACUGAGACACGGCCCAG
rnacentral:rRNA from 1 species